rnacentral:rRNA from 1 species
UACGGGGGGAGCAAGCGUUGUUCGGAUUUACUGGGCGUAAAGGGCGCGUAGGCGGUCGUGACAAGUCACUUGUGAAAUCUCCGGGCUUAACUCGGAACGGUCAAGUGAUACUGUCGGACUAGAGUACAGAAGGGGCAACUGGAAUUCUCGGUGUAGCGGUGAAAUGCGUAGAUAUCGAGAGGAACACCUGCGGCGAAGGCGGGUUGCUGGGCUGAUACUGACGCUGAGGCGCGAAAGUGUGGGUAGCAAACGGG